rnacentral:rRNA from 1 species
CCGGUUUGAACUCAGAUCAUGUAAAAUUUUAAAGGUCGAACAGACCCAAUCUUUUAGCUUCUACACCAAAAUUUAAUUUUAAUCCAACAUCGAGGUCGCAAACUUCUUUUUCGAUUUGAACUCUUUAAAGAAAUUACGCUGUUAUCCCUAAGGUAAUUUAAUCUUAUAAUCAUAAAUAAUGGAUCAAAAAUUCAUAAAUAAAUGUUUUAAUUAAAAAAAAGUUUAUUAAAUUUUUCUAUCACCCCAAUAAAAUAAUUAUUACUUUAAAAAAUUAUACAAUUCUAAAAAUUUUAAAUAAUAAUAAUUAUAAAACUCUAUAGGGUCUUCUCGUCUUUUAAAAUCAUUUAAGCUUUUUAACUUAAAAAUAAAAUUCUAAUAAAUUUAAAUUGAGACAGUAUUUUUCUCGUUCAACCAUUCAUUCCAGCUUUCAAUUAAAAAACUAAUUAUUAUGCUACCUUCGCACGGUCAAAGUACCGCGGCCAUUCAAAACUCAGUGGGCAGGUCAGACUUUAAAUUAAAAUCAAAAAGACAUGUUUUUGAUAAACAGGCG